rnacentral:snoRNA from 1 species
CUUCAGUGAUGAUACAAUGAUUGGGGGAAAAACAGGAAUCUAGUUCUGUGAGUUACCGGUUCAGGUCCACGUUCUCAAUUUCCUCAGAUCAGGAAGUCCUGUUCUCAUGAAGA